AAGUCGUAACAAGGUUUCCGUAGGUGAACCUGCGGAAGGAUCAUUACAGAGUUCGUGCCCUCCCGGGUAGAUCUCCCACCCUUUGAAUACAUACCUCUGUUGCUUUGGCGGGCCACGUCCGCGUGCUGGCUCCGGCUAGCUGCGCCCGCCAGAGGACCCCAACUCGUUUGUUUAGUGAUGUCUGAGUACUAUAUAAUAGUUAAAACUUUCAACAACGGAUCUCUUGGUUCUG
rnacentral:misc_RNA from 1 species